AACAUCGACAUUUCGAACGCACAUUGCGGUCCACGGAUAACGAUUCCCGGACCACGCCUGGCUGAGGGUC
rnacentral:rRNA from 1 species